AGUUGCUAGGUGACUUUGCAGAAGAGAAACAAAUAGAAACCCUUUUCCAAUUGAGAAGAAAAUUAACGGGAAAAGAUGUUUAGAGGCAACACAUCUGCAGAGUGUUUUUUUUUUUCUUUUUUGUAUUUUUAACAGUAUUAACACUUAUAAGUAGUAAAAGUAAUUAUGGUGGUCGGAUUUUGACACUUGGAGAGAAAAACUUACAAGGAAUGUCUGGUAACAAGCAUCAAGUAACUCUAAGUCUAGGCUGAGGAAUGGGGAAUAUUGAAGAGCUUGGAAACAAUUAGAAUUUAAAGUCCUAGUUUCAGAACUCCAAAGACUCUUUUUUUUUUUUUUUUAAUUUCAAUUUGUAAUAUUCCUUUAAGAGCCAUUUGGUGCAAUUCAUAGCCUGAUUCACGCCACUGGCGGCCUCUGAUUUCAGUAAGAAAUGCAGAAAUUUAUAGUGGAAUGUAAAACGGGGACAGGUUUUUAGUUUUCUAAAUUGAGGUUUUAAACUAGCAAACUUCUGAAGGUUUAAGAAGCCACAUAGCUGAGCUACGGGAAUCUGGUUUCUUUUCCGGUCAGAACAAAUAAACACACAAACACAUAUCUAACUCACAAAGUGUUGGAAGAGAUAAAGCAAUGCUCUUUACAAAGGAGGAAAACAAAAACUCAGCCUUGUGGGCAACAGAAGAAAAGUCACAUUGGCCAGCAGACAGCACCCUACGCUGGCAGAGGGAGAAAUCUGAGUUCCAGCGGCGUCAGGGGCAUUUGCACACAGCCUCCCGUUUCAAGUUGCAUGUCUCCGGAGUCCCAGGGAAGGCCCCAGCCUGUCUCCCUUCUCAGAGCCCCAGGGAGUGAUGAAAAGCCCCUGAACCAGCCACAGGACUCGCAGAGACACUGGGGCUCAGAAAGAUUGACUUGGUCAAAGUCUCACCGCCUGUAGGGGGUGCAGAGCCGAAGAGGUCAUGACAGUGCAGAGAGCACAGUUUGACUGUGACAUGACAGGCGUCGGCUGGGAUUCAUCCUCCUCACUCAGAAGAAAGUUCUCAGAUCUCUUCUGAAGAGACAGAAAAGACAGGAUAUAAAAAUAAAAAUGGAAAGGGUUUUCUCAGCAGGAAGGAUGGGCAUCUGCUUUUCCUGGACCCACUAUUUCUUCUCCAGGGACCGCCCAGGCCUUCCAACAAAAACCUCUGGGUCUAAGCCUCUGCAGGUGCCAUCCAAAGAUACCUGCGCCGGCAGCAGGGGAGCAUUGGCAGUGUUCCAAGAACUUAAAACCUCGUGAAACCUUGCGCUUGGGAGGAAUCUUGGAAAUCAGCCACCCAAUUCUUCAUUUGAUGCUUGAGUCUCUAUCAACCUCUGCUGGGAACUCACCCCUAUUCAAAAGCUUUGAUAACUUGGAGUGCUAGAAAGUCCUUUCACUGGACUUGAGAGCAGGACUGUGAUUUCUUGUUUGCUGUGAUAUUCCUACUCCCCCCCACCCACCCCCCACAACAGUGCUCAAUAAAUACUAGUUGAAUGGAUGGAUGAAUGAAUGAGCUAGUGAGCAGAUCUUCUGCCCAGUUUGUGUGGUUGCUGUGAAGGAGGGCGUCAGGGUCUGCCUGGGAUGCUGUCAGCGUGACUCAGCACAGCCUGUGCCUUGCUGAGGGCAGAUGCCCUUGGAACUUGAGGUGGAUAGGAGAGUUCCCAGCUAAGAGGUCCCUGGGGUGGGGAGACGAGUCUUUCCAGAGUUCCGAGUGCCAGGGCCGGGUAGCAGUCUUACUCCAUGGCCAUGACUUAUUACAUUCCCGAGUAAAUCGAAAUACAAUCCAUAUGUUCUGGGGUUAUUUACACGAUUCUCAUCAAGAUGCCACCGUUGCGUAAGAGCCAUUUGACAUCGAUGGCACGGCUUUCUUUCUUCCAUUCUGAGAAGAGUCCCUGAAGAAAAGCCAAUUCCACUGUCCCCGGAAAGGGAGGGGCAGGAGCACAGGGAACAGUCAUCUGGGGCAGCCCUGCUGGCAACGCAGUGCCUGGGGAGACUGUUUUCAGUGAGUCUCAUAGGGGAGGCUGAGGAAAGAGGGAGACUCCUGCCAAGCUGCAUGCCCCCGAGGGCUCUGCCAGCUGCUGCCAGCACGACUUCAGUGGAGGGCGGGGUGGAAAUGGCUUAAGGAGUUGCCAAAGAACAGGGAGGAAGAGCUGGUGCAUCGGGAAGAUGGGGGCUUCCAGGAAGGACACCUGGGUUGCAUUCUGGUGUAACUUUGGGUAAAUUACUUCCUUCCCACCGCCCCUGGGCCUCAGUUUCCCCUUCUGUGAAGUGUGAGGCUGCACUCAUGCUGCACCAUCCUUAUGCAUCCUGAUAGACUAUUCUAGGGUCCCUUUUUUAUAUCUUAUUGUGAAUAUUAUCCGGCAAUGCCUAGAUAAAUAUUUUUCAAGAAAAUAUCUUUACCACAAUCCUUAGUAAGAAAUACAUUUUACACAGUAAUCUAGUGUGUGUGUGUGUGUGUGUGUGUGUGUAUGUAUGUAUGUAUGUAUAUAUAUAAAUAUAUAAAACUGAAACAAAGUUUUCACAAAUCAAUGCUUACCCUUCCUACAAGGAUAGACAUGUAGAUUAAUGGACCAGCAGAAAGAGUCCAGAAAUAAAUCUACGCAUUUAUGGUCAAGUGAUUUCCAACCAAGGUGCCAAGGCAAUUCAGUGAGGAAAGAGAGCCUUUUUAGGUGCUGGCACAACUGGAUAUCCAUAUGCAAAAAUCCACCCAGACAACCAUCCAUCCAGACAUACAUAUAUACGUGUAUAUACUUACACCCUUACUUCACAUGAUACACAAAAAUGAAUUAAAAAUGGACCUUAGAUUGAAAUGUAAGAGCUAAAAGUAAGGAGCGAACUAUGUGUACUUGUUAACCACAAGGACGAUCCUCAUGAACAUUAUGUUAAGUGAAAGAAGACGAACGUGAAAGACUAAAUACUUUGUGUUUCCAUUUACAUGAAAUUUCUAGAAAAGGCAAAACAUUAGAGACAGAAAGCAGCUUGGAGGUUUAUUUGGGCUGUAGGGCUGCUAACAGGCAUGGGGGAACUUUGUGAAGUGACAGCAGUGUUCUGAAACUGUGGUGAUGGUUACACAGCCCUAUAAAUUAGCUAAAAAUCAUCAAAUUGUACACUUACAAUGGAUGAACUUUAUAAUAUGUAAAUUAUAACUCAAAGAGACACACUAAUAAAAUUAAACC